AGGCCCAGAAGAGCCGCAGUGAAUAGGCCCAAGCGACUGUUUAUCAAAAACACAGGUCUCUGCUAAACCGUAAGGUGAUGUAUAGGGGCUGACGCCUGCCCGGUGCUGGAAGGUUAAGAGGAGUGGUUAGCUUCUGCGAAGCUACGAAUCGAAGCCCCAGUAAACGGCGGCCGUAACUAUAACGGUCCUAAGGUAGCGAAAUUCCUUGUCGGGUAAGUUCCGACCCGCACGAAAGGCGUAACGAUUUGGGCACUGUCUCAACGAGAG
rnacentral:rRNA from 1 species